rnacentral:rRNA from 1 species
UGCAUAUCAAAAGCGGAGGAAAAGAAACCAACAGGGAUUGCCUCAGUAACGGCGAGUGAAGCGGCAAAAGCUCAAAUUUGAAAUCUAGCACCUUCGGUGUUUGAGUUGUAAUUUGAAGAUGGUAACCUUGGGUUUGGCUCUUGUCUAUGUUCCUUGGAACAGGACGUCAUAGAGGGUGAGAAUCCCGUCUGAUGAGAUGCCCAUUCCUAUGUAAGGUGCUAUCGAAGAGUCGAGUUGUUUGGGAAUGCAGCUCUAAGUGGGUGGUAAAUUCCAUCUAAAGCUAAAUAUUGGCGAGAGACCGAUAGCGAACAAGUACAGUGAUGGAAAGAUGAAAAGAACUUUGAAAAGAGAGUGAAAAAGUACGUGAAAUUGUUGAAAGGGAAGGGCAUUAGAUCAGACUUGGUGUUUUACGAUUAUCUUCUCUUCUUGAGUUGUGCACUCGUAUUUCACUGGGCCAGCAUCGAUUCGGAUGGCAAGAUAAUGGCAGUUGAAUGUGGCUUCACUUCGGUGGAGUGUUAUAGCUUCUGCUGAUAUUGCCUGUCUGGAUCGAGGGCUGCGUCUUUGACUAGGAUGCUGGCGUUUUUU